rnacentral:rRNA from 1 species
UACAGAGGGUGCGAGCGUUGUUCGGAAUCACUGGGCGUAAAGCGCGCGCAGGCGGGCGUGUAAGUCAGAAGUGAAAUUCCGGGGCUCAACCCCGGAGCUGCUCCUGAUACUGCACGUCUGGAGACCGGUAGAGGCUGGUGGAAUUCCCGGUGUAGCGGUGGAAUGCGUAGAGAUCGGGAAGAACACCCGUGGCGAAGGCGACUUCCUGGCCUGUUCUUGACGCUGAGGCGCGAAAGCUAGGGUAGCAAACGGG